rnacentral:lncRNA from 1 species
CCGGAGCAACAUGGAGUUCAUCGAGGCGGCGAACCGGGACAGCCGGAUGAGCUACCGCCUCGGCGAGACCCCGUUCACAGACCUCACCCACGACGAGUUCAUGGCCAUGUACAGCAGCAACGACGACGACGGCCCGUCGUCGUCAUUGUUGUCGGAGGAGACGACGGUGAUCACAACUCGCGCUGGCCCCGUCCACGAGGGCACCGCCGCCGUCGAAGAGCCGCCACCUCGUCGUACCAACCUGACGGCGGCGGUGCCUCCGAGCGUCGAUUGGAGGGCCAAAGGCGUCGUCACAGCAGCCAAGUUUCAAGGGGUGUCCUGUUGUAAGUAACAUCCAAAACAAAUCAUGCAUGCGAUCUCGUUGUCAUCGUCUACUCCAUUUAUGCAAGCUAAGUAACUAAGUAAGUGUCCGUGCAGCGUCUUGCUGGGCGUUCACGUCGGUGGCGACGAUGGAGAGCGCGCAGGCGAUCAGCACCGGCGGAUCGCCGCCGUUGCUGUCGGAGCAGCAGCUGGUGGACUGUGUCACUCUCAACCACGGCUGCAACAGAGGUUGGAUGGACAACGCCUUCAAGUGGGUGAUCCAGAACGGCGGCAUCACCACGGAGGCGGCCUACCCCUACACCGGCAAGGACGGCAUGUGCCAAACGGGCAAGCCGGUCGCGGUGAGGCUCAGCGGCUACAAGAAGGUUUCGCCGCCCGGCAACGAGGCGGCGCUCAUGGAGGCCGUGGCGCAGCAGCCCGUCGCCGCAUCCUUCGACUACAGCGACCCCUGCUUCCAGCACUACAUCGGCGGCGUAUACAACGCUGGUUGCUCCAAGUCCGGCGUCUACACCAAAGGGGCGUGCAAGACAGCGCAGAACCACGCGCUGGCCCUCGUCGGAUACGGGACCAUGCCUGACGGGACCAAGUACUGGAUCGGUAAGAACUCGUGGGGUGAGAAGUGGGGUGAAAAAGGCUUCAUCUAUGUCCUUAGGGACUCGCCGCCCUUGGGCUUGUGCGGCCUUGCGGCGCUCCCGGUUUACCCUAUCAUCUGAUGACGACCCCAGCCGCCGUGCACCUCCAUCAUGUGUGCGUCCCUCCGUGCAUACUUAUUAUAUAUAAUGAAUAAUUGCACGGUACUACCUAGCUAUUCACUUGUGUACUCCAUCAUGUAAAGGUUCGGAUGC